rnacentral:rRNA from 1 species
ACUCAAAGGAAUAGACGGGGGCCCGCACAAGCGGUGGAGCAUGUGGUUUAAUUCGACGCAACGCGAAGAACCUUACCUGGGCUUGAACUGUUGUUGAAAGCGGCAGAGAUGUCGUUUCCCGCAAGGGCAGCAUCAGAGGCGCUGCAUGGCUGUCGUCAGCUCGUGUCGUGAGAUGUUGGGUUAAGUCCCGCAACGAGCGCAACCCUUGCCCCUAGUUGCCAUCGGGUAAUGCCGGGAACUCUAGGGGGACUGCCCGGGUUAACCGGGAGGAAGGUGGGGAUGAUGUCAAGUCCUCAUGGCCCUUAUGUCCAGGGCUACACACGUGCUACAAUGGGCGGUACAGACCGAUGCGAAGCCGCGAGGUGGAGCGAAUCGGAAAAAGCCGUCCUCAGUUCGGAUUGCAGCCUGCAACUCGGCUGCAUGAAGUUGGAAUCGCUAGUAAUCGUGUAUCAGAACGAUACGGUGAAUACGUUCCCGGGCCUUGUACACACCGCCCGU